UUUUUUUCGCACUACGCCAUCAAACGCAAACAUUUUGGUGCGCGGAUGGUAUAGGUGAGCGUUGGAUCAUGAAAUACGAAAUUUUUUCGCGACGUUAUCGCAGCAUUGUAAGUUAUUGUUUUCGAUAAUCUUAGGUCCCAAUUUAGUCAUGUCGCAGAAUGCUUUAUCUAUUUGUAAUUUGAACAAAUUCAUUCGAUUGGACAUUAUUUUUUUUUCCUCGUGCCUGCAGCGUGAAAGCUUUUCAACUGCGAUAUACUAACUUGCGAGUUAUGCGGAAUAGAGGGAAUAAUUUAUUUAAUUUUUCCCCUAACUUUUCGAGGGCAUCCCUUAAUUCUGCGAAAUAUCCUUUGCCGUAAUCAUUGCAUAUUUCUAAGCUGGCGCAGAAUAAUCUGAGUGAUAAAUUAGAUCUUUUCUAUUCCGAUCAUCGGAGAGUGCAUAAUUAUGGGGAUUCCAACGUUCCGACAUAAUUCGUACCUUGGGAUUGGUUUGAGACCAUUAUUGGCCUUUGCUCGAAGCUGCGUUGGCUCGUUGCGACGAGAGCUCUCUCAGCCGCAAGCUUCUCCGCCGAGGCGUCGAUUUAUAGUGAAUUCCUUAUCUCUGGUAAGGUUGGUACGUACUCCUAAGACUAGCGAUAAGACGGCAUAAUCGCGAACGUAAAUUUCAGGGUUCCAUGCCCGUAAGAGAACGAACCUCCCUUGAAUACCAAGUUAUGCAGCUUUUGUUGUUCGGUGUAAAUAGUUACCGUGGGUAAACUAUUCACACGAGACAUUCUUCGAACCGUAUAGGGCGAGAAUUCAGAAUUCGUGAUUCAGGAUUCAGGAUUCAGGAUUCAGGAAUGGUCGUUCUACAAAUUGGUUGACAUCCUUCGCGGGCCCGAAGUUGAUAGUUGCGGAGCGAAGAGAGUCGCAUGAGUUCGGAUUUUUAACAUUGACGCGUGUCCAAUUUUACAGAGAAUCUAAAACCAAUAGCAACAGCGGCAUCGUCAGUAGCCACUCAUUGUCGGAGGGGGGAAAAAUGUAAAACGCGAAGCAGACUUUUCACUCUUACCGUGUCGUCGCGAGUCGCGAUAUAUGUAAGGGAAUCUUCAAUGUUACCCUUGAUACUCGCACCCUUUUACGCGUCCAUUAAUGUUCCUGCAACCCUGCAGCACAUGUAAAGCUGUUUCACAUUCCCUACUUUGUAGUAUUUGAAAAAAGGCUGCAGGAAGUUGCAUCGAGAUUGCACGAUAACAUUAGCUACACUGAAAGAAAUGAAGAAAAAAAAAAAAAAAUUCUUCAAUCACUUCUCUAGCUACGCAACCCUUGACUCAGGGGUGAAACGCGUUGAUUGCUUCAGCGAUACGGCCUUGGAAAAAAUUCUUUCUUCAUAUAUUACAGCAAAAAUAUGAAGAAACGGUGGAUUUAUAAAUUCUCAAUUUUUAGGCGUUGGUGGCGAUGGAUAUUAUAGGUGGGAUUUAAGGGCCACGUUAUAUCUUUGAUCUGGGAUUGGUUGAAAAUAAAUAGAAAGAAACGUUACGACUUUGAAGAGGGUUAUUUCGACCGGCGGGAGCUUCUUCUUGCAAUCUUGUUUUAGAGCAAUCGACCUAUACUUUUGCAGGCCCCAUUCAACCUUUCCGGCCUUCUAUAUGCCGGCACAGACUUUUAUGGGAUGUGUGCGGGCUGCGAAGGUUCUAGUAUAACCUUCGUAAAAAGGGGCGGAUAUAUAUUCUAUGUAUAGGGCGUUCCGCGUCAACUCGAGCAACGCUUGAUUCUCACGAUAUUUAUUUUUCCGUCGGAAGAGAAAUUUUCUAUUACCGUAGAACUUAAAUUACACUACAGUUUUUUUUUUUAUCGAAUUUCGACCCAUAUUAUCAGUCGUCAAAUGGGAAUGACCAAAGGUUUUUUUCGAGUUGUGAGGUAUUUGCUUUCUUUUUAAUUGAAAGUUUCUAUCACCUCGUUCUAUGAACGUCGCCAUAUCUUUCGUCGUUAUUCGAAUGACGAUCAGUAGCGCGAAAAAUCGGUUAUCUCCUCUCAUUAUCUCGCUAAAGUUUCGCAUUUUUUUUUAGGGCAAAUAUUAUGCAGAUAUUCUACCUGUGUGAAAAUAUCUACGGUUCUUUCCGUUCGUAGAUUAUACUCAACGUAAUCAUAUAUCAGCCUACACGCGCGGUUUAUACAUUCCACAUUUGCUGCAAGGUUACAAUAUAAAGACACAUGAUGGUUUCGUCUUUAUUACGCAGACACCGUAAGGUGACACGGUGUAUAAAAUACAUACGAAUAUGAUAUAGUGAUAUAAGUAGCUAUAGGUAUUUAAUAUUUUCGAUGUGGUACGUUCUUUCUUUUUCCGCAAUACUCUACAUACCCCGCAGUAAACCAGGCGCGGGAUGAAAAAAAAAAAAAAACAAAAACGCAAGAGGGAAAGACGAAAUGGAUAUGAGACAGGUUCUGAAUAUAACUCAGAAUUUUCAACCCUCCGGCAUCACCGCGUUCUCCAGGGAGGUAAAAUCCAACGACACCUUUUCUCGUGACCUUCCAGCUCAUGGAUCAUCGAGUGGGUUGGAGCUAUACGUACAUCGCAAUGCUCCGUGGUUCUAUAUCCUGAUCCUGCUGCCUUGCGCAGAGCCAAGAAUAGGAGAUAAUCCAAAUCGGAAAGAAACGCCCGAAGAGAAUUCAAAAAUAAAAGGAUGACGAUGGGACUCGGCUCUGCUCUAAUCCCUUGAAUCGUAUAUGUAUAAUACAUUCAAUCACAUUAUGCGUAAAAAAUCACUACAGCCGCUUUUGUAGAAUAGGCCUCGAUCAGAUUGUAGUUGAAUUUAAUAAAGAUCCUAACUACGAACAUCGCGUAAAUGUUGAAAUAGAUAGUGGCAUAGAUGCACACAAUAUUCCUAAUAAAAAGGUGCUUCUAAAUCGUGAAAUAUAUUUUUCA